UACCAGCACCCCGAGUGGUCGGGACGUUUAUUGGGCCUAAAGCAUCCGUAGCCGGUUCUACGAGUCUUCCGUUAAAUCCAACUGCUUAACAGGUGGGCUGCGGAAGAUACUAUAGAGCUAGGAGGCGGGAGAGGCAAGCGGUACUCGAUGGGUAGGGGUAAAAUCCGUUGAUCCAUUGAAGACCACCAGUGGCGAAGGCGGCUUGCCAGAACGCGCUCGACGGUG
rnacentral:rRNA from 1 species